CGCGCAGGCGGUCGAUUAAGUCGAGUGUGAAAGCCCCCGGCUCAACUGGGGAGGGUCACUUGAUACUGGUCGACUCGAAGGCAGGAGAGGGAAGUGGAAUUCCCGGUGUAGUGGUGAAAUGCGUAGAUAUCGGGAGGAACACCAGUGGCGAAGGCGACUUCCUGGCCUGUUCUUGACGCUGAGGCGCGAAAGCUAGGGGAGCAAACG
rnacentral:rRNA from 2 species